rnacentral:rRNA from 1 species
AACGAACGCUGGCGGCAUGCCUAACACAUGCAAGUCGAACGAGACCUUCGGGUCUAGUGGCGCACGGGUGCGUAACGCGUGGGAACCUGCCCUUAGGUUCGGAAUAACUCCCCGAAAGGGGUGCUAAUACCGGAUAAUGUCUUCGGACCAAAGAUUUAUCGCCUUUGGAUGGGUCGGCGUUGGAUUAGCUAGUUGGUAGGGUAAAAGCGUACCAAGGCGACGAUCCAUAGCUGGUCUGAGAGGAUGAUCAGCCACACUGGGACUGAGACACGGCCCAGACUCCUACGGGAGGCAGCAGUGGGGAAUAUUGGAAAAUGGGCGAAAGCAUGAUCCAGCAAUGCCGGGUGAGUGAUGAAGUCCUUAGGGUUGUAAAGCUCUUUUACCCGGGAUGAUAAUGACAGUACCGGGAGAAUAAGCUCCGGCUAACUCCGUG